AGUGAACGCUGGCGGUAGGCCUAACACAUGCAAGUCGAACGGCAGCACAGUAAGAGCUUGCUCUUACGGGUGGCGAGUGGCGGACGGGUGAGGAAUACAUCGGAAUCUACUUUUUCGUGGGGGAUAACGUAGGGAAACUUACGCUAAUACCGCAUACGACCUACGGGUGAAAGCAGGGGAUCUUCGGACCUUGCGCGAUUGAAUGAGCCGAUGUCGGAUUAGCUAGUUGGCGGGGUAAAGGCCCACCAAGGCGACGAUCCGUAGCUGGUCUGAGAGGAUGAUCAGCCACACUGGAACUGAGACACAGUCCAGACUCCUACGGGAGGCAGCAGUGGGGAAUAUUGGACAAUGGGCGCAAGCCUGAUCCAGCCAUACCGCGUGGGUGAAGAAGGCCUUCGGGUUGUAAAGCCCUUUUGUUGGGAAAGAAAAGCAGCAGGUUAAUACCCCGCUGUUCUGACGGUACCCAAAGAAUGAGCACCGGCUAACUUCGUG
rnacentral:rRNA from 1 species